CCGUGACUGAAGUGAUGUGAUUUCCUCAUAGGAAAUUAAAAGUAGCCUCCACAGUUACAAAACGGCUGUUGAAACUGUGGCAAACACUUGUCAGCAACAUUAGAAGUGGGAUAAAUGUGUUAAUUUGAAGGGAGACGAGCAGCCUGGGGACACUGCUCUAAAAUGAGUCUCUCUGGGGAGAGAGAGGAGGGGGGCCCUGCCUCUAAAAUGAGUCUCUCUGGGGAGAGGAAGGAAGGGGGUCCUGCCUCUAAAAUGCAUCUAUCUGGGGAGAGAGAGGAGGGGGGCCCUGCCUCUAAAAUGCAUCUCUCUGGGGAGAGAGAGGAGGGGGGCCUUGCCUCUAAAAAGCAUCUUUCUGGGGAGAGGAAGGAGGUGAUCCCUGCCUCUAAAAUGCAUCUCUCUGGGGGACAUGACACCAAAACUAAGAGCCCAAUCCAUCAGGAGAGACCAGACUCACCCAGCUCUCUGUCCAUGAAUAGUGACGGGUCUAUGGACGUUUUCUAUGAUUGCGAAGACGGAGACUUUUCAGGGUAAGUAGACUCCACUCUAUGAUACUGCCAAUUACAUGCAACAAGGGAGACAUUUCUUCAAUCACAGAGUAAAUACAGACAAGGUUUUAAAAAUCUAACUUUAAAAGUUUAUAUUCUGUUAACUCAUACCCAAAUAAUGUUGUUGACACGCCCUUUACUCAUAUUUGUGGCCAUAGCAUAAAUUGGAGAAAAAUACUUAAAAAACCCCACCUCAAACUUGUAUCUCAAUCUGACCGUUUAAAAAAUGCUGCUAUUUCCUCGUAGAACUUGAUUGCUCUUUGGCAGAGCUGACCAAUCAGCGGUCUAUUUAUGAGAAUAUUUGUAAUGAUUGUUAUACGCCCACAGCAUUCUGUUGUUGGGGUACGCCCACACCAUUCCCAUUCAACAUACUGUCCGGACCUCUGGCAGUCUUUAUAGGGGUGCCACAGGAUUCAAUUGUCGGGCCAACUCUUUUCUCUGUAUAUAUCAAUGAUGUCGCUCUUGCUGCUGGUGAUUCUCUGAUCCACAUCUAUGCAGACGACACCAUUCUGUAUACAUCUGGCACUUCCUUGGACUUUGUGUUAAAAAACCUCCAAACGAGCUUCAGUGCCAUACAGCACUCCUUCCGUGGCCUCCAACUGCCCUUAAAUACUAGUAAAAUUAAAUGCAUGCUUUCAAACGAUUUCUGCCCGCAACCUCCCGCCCGACUAGCAUCACUACUCUGGACGGUUCUGACGUAGAAUAUGUGGACAACUACAAAUAUCUAGGUGUCUGGUUAAACUGUAAACUCUCCUUCCAGACUCACAUUAACCUGUUCGCUAUAGGGGGCAGUAUUUUCACGGCCGGAUGAAAAACGUACCCAAAUUAAACGGCCUACUACUCGGACCCAGAGUCAAAUAUUUGCAUAUUAUUAGUAGAUUUGGAUAGAAAACACUCUGAAGUUUCUAAAACUGUUAGAAUGGUGUCUGAGUAUAACAGAACUCAUAUGGCAGGCAAAAACCUGAGAAGAUUCCAAGCAGGAAGUGGCCUGUUUGCAAAUUUGUAGUCCUUCUUUUGCUUCUCUAUCGAAACUACAGUAUCUGAGCUGUUACGUGGCACUUUCUAAGGCUUCCAUUGGCUCUCUAAAGCGUUCAGAAAGCGGAUUGAGGCGUCUCUGGGCAAAGUAUAGGAGCACAGUUUGUCAGUGGUCAGUCUGGUGACUAAGAGAUUGGAGAUGCACGUUCACAAGACCAUGCUGUUUUUUAUUUUCGUCUUUGAAUGAAUACACUAUUGUCCGGAUGGAAUAUUAUCGCUAUUUUACGAGAGAAAUAGCAUAAAAAUUGAUUUUAAACAGCGUUUGACAAGCUUCUAAGUACGGUAAAGGAACAUUUUGAUUUUUUUUGUCUCGAUA
rnacentral:lncRNA from 1 species